rnacentral:tRNA from 1 species
GCCCCUAUAGCUCAGCUGGCAGAGCAUCUGAUUUGUAAUCAGGAGGUCGGGAGUUCAAGUCUCUCUGGGGGCACCA